AUUAUAAGUUAUUUAAUUUAUAUUUAUAUAGUUUAUAAACCAGGAAAGCAUGAUUUUAUAAAAUAAAAUAAUUUCUAUCUUUGGCUGGACCGAAUGCGGCCAGACUUGAGUCUAGUACAUUUCUAAAUUACCAGCUUGUCUGGUUUUAAUAAUUCGAAGAUGUGGAUUUUAUUAGAAAUUAGGUUGUAGCUCCAGCGUUUGAAAAAAUAGCUAUACUUGAGAGAUUUUUUUAAUGCGACAAUAGGGAUUCCAUUGAAUUAGAAUAUUAGUCAUUUUGACCUAGUAAUUAUAAGUAUUUAAUUACAAAUAAUAUUUUUUCUUAAAUAAAUUAGAAAAAUAAUGGGGUUAUUUUAUGGAAUCAAUUUAUUUUGUAAUUAUAAAGAUUUAAUUAAAUUAAAUUAUUCGAUAUUUCUAGAUAUCCCAGAAGAGCAGAAAAUUAUUAUAAAUUCGGAAAAUUGAAUUUUCAAUUUAAGAUGAUAUUAAAUCUAUCUCUGUCUAAAAUGGAGCAGGUCGGAAAGUAUGUUCGAAAAUUAAUUUUUUGAUUACUAAUACGAUGGAAACGUGUCAGUUUUAUGACGCCGGUAAAUUUU
rnacentral:rRNA from 1 species